CACAUCACGCCGCCCUCCCAUCUACACAUCGCGCAGCCCCACCCCUCUCCUCGCGCCGCCCCCGAUCUUUGCCGGGCGCCCGCCUCCGCGCCGCUACAUCACCAUCGCCCGGAGUUGCCAGGGUCGUCGUCCUCCGAUCUCCUUCGCCCGAGCCGAUCUCUCCACCGAUUUGCUCCGCUCGUGCCGAUCUCUCCCGUCCGCGUCGGCAGUGACGGCCGCCUCGCCGAUCUCCUCCGUGCCACCGUCGGUACUCCCUCACCAAUCUGCUCCGCCCGCGCCGAUCUCUCCCAUCCGCGUCGCCAGCGAGGGCCACCCCACCAAUCUCCUCCGUGCCACCUCUGGAACACCCGCGCCCGCGUCGCCGACGACCUAGAAUUAAGUAGUAGUUGCUAGCUCUGGUUGGCAGCACAUACACAUUUCAUCGAGCACGUCUUGAGCGUUCUAGAAUUCUUGAGUGCUCUAUAUUGUGGUUAGAUCAACAAGAUGAGAGGCCUCCUGUGAUUUACCUGUAGGAUCAUGUGAGAAUACACCAAUCUGCAGGAAAAAAAAGUUUAGAUUGUCGAAGCAAAGCUGACCGGACACCAUGCCAAUUGCUAUUGUUUACUGCACAAUCAAGGAGAUUUUUGGCUGAUUCUACUAAAUUUCUGUUUGGUAAAGGUAAUUUCCUUCCAUCAUGAUUACCCCUUACAAAUAGUGCAAAUGUCUCCUGCAUGGAUCAAUCUUCGCUAAAUGGUCUAUAAACAUUUCUACUGCACCAUGCAAAGGGUUAAAUUGUAGCCAUCCAGUGAAGAAUUUCUUUCUUUGAACCUACAGUACCUUGGACAUACAAGCAGAUUUCUCUUUGUGCUGAUGUCAUGUGCCGAAUACUUCGUAACAAGGGAGUUGUGUGGGCUGUUAGGAUUCACGUCUCAGUCAUUCAGUUUCUAUUCUAGAUAGCAAAAUUUGCUAUAGGGCAUCCAAAAAACGUGUAAUUUCACAAUAUGUCUGUGAUUAAAUUAAACUGAUUCUCCAAAUAAAUUACAAGAACUACAUCCACGCAGCUUAUUAAUUUGCAUAGGAUUACAAAUGAUUCCGAGCGCCACAGUCAGUCCUACAAGAUCAGCGUCGGCAGUCCUCUCUGCCCUGAUUAAGGAGUGCAUGAACAAGGUUUCCUAAACGGUGUUUUUCCUCGCUCAUCCUGAAAGCCCUGAUCCUGAAGGUUCAUUCCUUCUAUUACUGACAUCAUAACUGAAGCUUGCAACAGUUUAUGUGUCAUAUUAAUGCCAUUGGUAUUCAAUCCAUUUCCUGAUAAUAUAGAAUUGCUCUUAUUUUCCUUGUAAAAUUAUGUGCAAGCAGUAAGAUUUUAAAUUGGUUAUUGUCUUCAUGAUCAUUGGAUCUUUUUUUUUCCAAUGAAGUGUAUCAAACUAGAGCAAACUGUUACUCUGAACAUGUCAAAUUGGUCAUUUAUCUGAAUUUAUAAAAUAGCGUUAACUUCCUUUUUCGUUCACAAAUUUCUUGCUUUGCAAUCAAUAUAAAUUCAGACAAAUUUACAAGCUGUUAAUAUAUCAAUGACCACUACAUAUCCUAUAGCAACUAAUUAAAGCUUCUAAUAAUGGAGAUAUUUACUAAAAAUAAGAUGGUGUUACUUAUUUCAGAUUCAGCACAUGAUUUAUAUUUUAGAUUUUGUAUAUAACUCAGUUUAAAGUUCAGAAUGUAAAUAGGCACAAUAUUUAGUUGAAUCAUUUGGAAAUAAAACAUGCUUAUGCUGAACUGCUGGUAUCCCUAUAGACUGAACAGCUAGAAAAACAUGCGUACACUGAACUGCUGAUAAGACAGUUUAAGUUCAAACAUUUAUUAAGUAUACUGAAUCAUUGGGAAUUCCUGUAGAUUGCUUCCCCAUUUGAAUUUUACUGACAUUACCCAUGACUGUAUCAAUGUUAAAUUUUGGUUGCAUCAAUAAAUCUUCUACUUGUUACCAGCAUCCUUAUCGCACCUACUUAAUUUGUUUGAUAUAACAAAAUGAACAAGGAUGUGAACUACAGUUGGUACACUGAAUUGCUAAGAGAAAUGCUUGUAACAACAUGUAUAUUGUUGAUAAUAUUAAGGUGCUUUCAGUGAAUUUCACAUUUGCUAUUUACAGCUCAGGUACUUUCAGUGAACAGGAAGCUUACUCAUAAGGAAUCAAACCAAUCGUGAAGAUAGCGGGUACUCUGAGAAUUGACAGAGAUGAGAGUCUGGCUAAAUAGUCAGCCAUGUGAAAUGCCUUAAUGAACUCUCUAUUUCGAUAGAUGAGAUAUGUGAAAUGCCUUAAUGAACUCUGUAUUUCGAUAGAUGAGAUAGCUCAUUUAGGCAGUACAUACAUGACGUGGGUUCUUCGAUCCAUUCAACUCUGUAGUGCUGAUCCAUUUAUAGAUAUUUCUCCCUUGCAUAUGCACUUUUCAUUAACUCCCAACCAUAUAACAUUGCGGGGCCCUAAAAUUUAUAUUACUACCUACACGAAAUCAGUGUGAUGCACAAUUUAUUUUUUAUGUAGAUAUAUUGUACUCUUAAAUUUGUUUUAUACAAAUGAUUUUUAUUGUUAGGUAAUACAAUAUUGCUGAAGUACCUAAAUGAAAUAAAUGUGACAUGAUAUCCAACUAGCAAUUUUCGAUUAGAUGAAAUGUUAUGUGAUUUGUUUGUAAAUCACAUUAUAUGUUUGUUGUGGACUAAGGUAGAUUGAUGUUUUAUCGGAUAGGAAUGGAUCCAAAUGGAUCGGCGUUUGAAGAACGCGCCCCAUUUCGAGACAGCUAAUAUUUCUUCAGGUGUUGUGACAUAUGCAAGAGCUGGAAGUACAACUUCUACUAAGCUUCAAUGUACAGGGUGAGCUUGGAUGACAUUGCUAGCUAGGGUGCUAGGCUGAAUAUCUACAAUUAAGGAAGUGCAGCCAAAUAGAGCAUUAAUCAGGAGAACCACAUCUGCAUGUGGUAGAUUUGAAGGUGUAUAGCUUAAUCUCAUGAGGAGCUAUGUGUGAUCAUCUACAUUAAUGUCUCCACUGACGAGUGAACACGUAUUUCAAUAUAAAAUCUUUCUCAGCCAAACUA